rnacentral:rRNA from 1 species
GACGAACGCUGGCGGCAUGCUUAACACAUGCAAGUCGAACGGAACGGCCCUGUCUUUGUGCGGUCCUCGAGUUACGAACGGGUGAGUUGCCCUUGAGUAACCUAUACCUGACUUUAGGGUAUCUUCAUGCAACUUGGGCUAUUACCGGAUAGGAUUUCCUGCUGUAUGGUGGGGCCUGGAUAGUUUCGGCGGUUGGGGAUGGAAUCGCGGCCUAUCGGCUUGAUGGUGGGGUAGUGGCUUACCAAGGCAUGGACAGGUAGCCGGCCUGAGCGGCCAACAGGCCACAUUGGGAUGGAGAUACGACACAGACUCGUACGGGAGGCAGCAGUGGGGUAGAGAGCACUAUGGGCGGAAGCCUGAUGCAGCAACGCCGCGUGCGGGAUGACGGCCUGCGGGUUGUAUACCACUUUCGCCUGAGACGAAGCGUGAGUGACGGUAAUGGGUAAAGAAGCACCGGCUAACUACGUG